AAUUCCCCGUGGUGCGCGAGUCUUGGGUGGAAAACCUAAAGGCAGAAUGAAAGUAAAGGGAACUAGCUUUCUGAGGGAGGAUGGGUUACCUGCCUUUACAGGCGGUGCUCCGCACUCCCGGGGCGUCUCUUUCUCAUUACGAGUGGAGGCGCACCUAUAGCGCACACGCUGAUACCCGAAAGAUGGUGAACUAUGCCUGGCCAGGACGAAGCCAGGGGAAACCCUGGUGGAGGUCCGCAGCGAUUCUGACGUGCAAAUCGAUCGUCGGAGCUUGGUAUAGGGGCGAAAGACCAAUCGAACCAUCUAGUAGCUGGUUCCCUCUGAAGUUUCCCUCAGGAUAGCUUGCGCUCGGUUGAGACGAGUCUCAUCCGGUAGAGCGAAUGAUUAGAGGCCUUGGGGUCGAAACGACCUCAACCUAUUCUCAAACUCCAAAUAGAUGAGAUCCCCGGCUUGCUUGAAAGUGAAGCCGGGACUCGGAUCAGAGUGCCAAGUGGGCCAAUUUUGGUAAGCAGAACUGGCGCUGUGGGAUGAACCAAACGCAGAGUUAAGGCGCCUGAAUCGACGCUCAUGUGAAACCAUGAAAGGCGUUGGUUGCUUAAGACAGCAGGACGGUGGCCAUGGAAGUCGGAAUCCGCUAUGAGGUGGUGUAAAAAAA
rnacentral:rRNA from 1 species